UCGCAUGACGAGGAAAUAGCUCUAGAUCAGGAGUCACUUUUGUGACAAUGACGGAUUAACAUGUAUUAUCUGAUUG
rfam:Penicillium flavigenum strain IBT 14082 PENFLA_contig006, whole genome shotgun sequence.